CGGACUGGAGCAAGUCACACUUCUCCAUACCUUUCCAUGGGGAUGAUACACAGGGCCAGGUACUCUACCACUGAGCUGGCCCUCGGCCCAAGUUCACUUAUCCGUGGCAAACUUUACUUGCACGAUAAAGGUCACUACCACAAGAGUUUGGCAUACAGCCUGGCAUGUGGAAACUGUGAAGAAAUGGUCGCUAUCAGCAUGACUGCAUGGGGGUGCAGAAUAUCUGCCCUUUCAAACUUGGCAUUGGUGGUAGGAAUUGCUUCACCUGACUAAGUCUAGCUUGCUAACUGAAAGAGAAAAUGCGAGGCUGCAGCGUUGCAAGGUCCCUGGGGAGCCCUGAACCGGGAUCCAAGUUUCCCCACUCCCUUCCUCUUCCUGAACUUUUCGUAGGAUGUUGUGCACACCUCCAGCAAUGCCAGCCAAAAGCCCUUGUGGCCAUGUCUUGCAGGGUGGGAAGGGCCUGGGACACCAGGCGGCAGUGGUUCCUUCUUGGAUGUGGGAAUCAGGUCAGUAGGAUGAACGUCUAAAGAGCUCCCAUCAGAGAGGAAGAGCUGACUGCGGCUUGCAUGGAGAGACAGGAGACCCGAGAAACAUAUCCUUACCCUGGGAAAAGCAAGAGGAUGAGGAUGACAGAUGGAGCCGAUGGAGCCCAAGAGCCUGGAGCACGAGAGUGAGAGACAUUGAAAUGCAAAAGUUGCGCAGCCUCUAACUCCCACCCUAACCUCGGCCUGGCACCAUGAGGGAACACAGGCCCAGGGGGUCAGACCUUUCGGAGUCAUUGAGAGAAUAUAGAAAAAUGAAUGUA